CCGAGGAAAAGAAAUCAACCGAGAUUCCCCCAGUAGCGGCGAGCGAACGGGGAGGAGCCCAGAGCCUGAAUCAGCAUGUGUGUUAGUGGAAGCGUCUGGAAAGGCGCGCGAUACAGGGUGACAGCCCCGUACACAAAAGCGCAUGUGCUGUGAGCUCGAUGAGUAGGGCGGGACACGUGGUAUCCUGUCUGAAUAUGGGGGGACCAUCCUCCAAGGCUAAAUACUCCUGACUGACCGAUAGUGAACCAGUACCGUGAGGGAAAGGCGAAAAGAACCCCGGCGAGGGGAGUGAAAAAGAACCUGAAACCGUGUACGUACAAGCAGUGGGAGCACCCUUUGGGGUGUGACUGCGUACCUUUUGUAUAAUGGGUCAGCGACUUAUAUUCUGUAGCAAGGUUAACCGUAUAGGGGAGCCGGAGGGAAACCGAGUCUUAACCGGGCGUUAAGUUGCAGGGUAUAGACCCGAAACCCGGUGAUCUAGCCAUGGGCAGGUUGAAGGUUGGGUAACACUAACUGGAGGACCGAACCGACUAAUGUUGAAAAAUUAGCGGAUGACCUGUGGCUGGGGGUGAAAGGCCAAUCAAACCGGGAGAUAGCUGGUUCUCCCCGAAAGCUAUUUAGGUAGCGCCUCGUGAAUUCAUCUCCGGGGGUAGAGCACUGU
rnacentral:rRNA from 1 species